GUGGGGAAUAUUGGACAAUGGGCGAAAGCCUGAUCCAGCCAUGCCGCGUGAGUGAUGAAGGCCUUAGGGUUGUAAAGCUCUUUCAGUAGGGAAGAUAAUGACGGUACCCACAGAAGAAGCCCCGGCUAACUUCGUGCCAGCAGCCGCGGUAAUACGAAGGGGGCUAGCGUUGUUCGGAUUUACUGGGCGUAAAGCGCACGUAGGCGGAUCGUUAAGUCGGGGGUGAAAUCCUGGAGCUCAACUCCAGAACUGCCUUCGAUACUGGCGAUCUUGAGUCCGGAAGAGGUGAGUGGAACUCCUAGUGUAGAGGUGGAAUUCGUAGAUAUUAGGAAGAACACCAGUGGCGAAGGCGGCUCACUGGUCCGGUACUGACGCUGAGGUGCGAAAGCGUGGGGAGCAAACAGGAUUAGAUACCCCAGUAGUCC
rnacentral:rRNA from 1 species